UACGUAGGGUGCGAGCGUUAAUCGGAAUUACUGGGCGUAAAGGGCGCGUAGGCGGCCUGCUAAGUCGAACGUGAAAUCCCCGGGCUCAACCCGGGAACUGCGUCCGAUACUGGUUGGCUUGAAUCCGGGAGAGGGAUGCGGAAUUCCAGGUGUAGCGGUGAAAUGCGUAGAUAUCUGGAGGAACACCGGUGGCGAAGGCGGCAUCCUGGACCGGCAUUGACGCUGAGGCGCGAAAGCCAGGGGAGCAAACGGG
rnacentral:rRNA from 1 species